rnacentral:tRNA from 1 species
CCGUAGCUCAGUUGGAUAGAGCGCUAGUUUCCGGAACUAGAUGUCGCAGGUUCGAAUCCUGCCGG